CUUUUACGGAGAGUUUGAUCCUGGCUCAGGAUGAACGCUGGCGGCGUGCUUAACACAUGCAAGUCGAACGGUGAAGCAGAGCUUGCUCUGUGGAUCAGUGGCGAACGGGUGAGUAACACGUGAGCAACCUGCCCCUGACUCUGGGAUAAGCGCUGGA
rnacentral:rRNA from 1 species